AUGAUCAUCAGCUGCUUGCUGCAGAACAUCAUCAACAUAGUAUCCCUCAUGUUCGUCGGCCACCUCGGCGAGCUUCCCCUCGCCGGCGCCUCCCUCGCCAACUCCGUCGCCAGCGUCACCGGCUUCAGAUCAUCAUCGGCAUGGCGACUGCGCUGGACACGCUGUGCGGGCAGGCGUUCGGCGCGCGGCAGCACCACCUGCUCGGCGUCUACAAGCAGCGCGCCAUGGAGGUGCUCGGGCUCACCUGCGUCCCCAUCGCCGUCGUCUGGGCGCACACCGGCCGGAUCCUCGUGCUCCUCGGCCAGGACCCGCGCAUCGCCGCCGAGGCCGGCGCCUACGCGCGGUGGCUCAUCCCGUCGCUCACCGUGA
rnacentral:rRNA from 1 species